rnacentral:rRNA from 1 species
AGUCGAACGGCAGCGCGGGGCAACCUGGCGGCGAGUGGCGAACGGGUGAGUAAUAUAUCGGAACGUACCCUGGAGUGGGGGAUAACGUAGCGAAAGUUACGCUAAUACCGCAUACGAUCUAAGGAUGAAAGCGGGGGAUUCGCAAGAACCUCAUGCUCCUGGAGCGGCCGAUAUCUGAUUAGCUAGUUGGUGGGGUAAAGGCUCACCAAGGCUUCGAUCAGUAGCUGGUCUGAGAGGACGACCAGCCACACUGGAACUGAGACACGGUCCAGACUCCUACGGGAGGCAGCAGUGGGGAAUUUUGGACAAUGGGCGCAAGCCUGAUCCAGCAAUGCCGCGUGAGUGAAGAAGGCCUUCGGGUUGUAAAGCUCUUUUGUCAGGGAAGAAACGGUGAAGGCUAAUAUCCUUUGCUAAUGACGGUACCUGAAGGAUAAGCACCGGCUAACUACGUGCCAGCAGCCGCGGUAAUACGUAGGGUGCAAGCGUUAAUCGGAAUUACUGGGCGUAAAGCGUGCGCAGGCGGUUUUGUAAGUUUGUCGUGAAAGCCCCGGGCUCAACCUGGGAAUUGCGAUGAAGACUGCAAGGCUUGAAUCUGGCAGAGGGGGGUAGAAUUCCACGUGUAGCAGUGAAAUGCGUAGAGAUGUGGAGGAACACCGAUGGCGAAGGCAGCCCCCUGGGUCAAGAUUGACGCUCAUGCACGAAAGCGUGGGGAGCAAACAGGAUUAGAUACCCUGGUAGUCCACGCCCUAAACGAUGUCCACUAGUUGUCGGGUUUUAAUUAACUUGGUAACGCAGCUAACGCGUGAAGUAGACCGCCUGGGGAGUACGGUCGCAAGAUUAAAACUCAAAGGAAUUGAC